GAUGAAGAACGUAGCGAAAUGCGAUAAGUAAUGUGAAUUGCAGAAUUCAGUGAAUCAUCGAGUUUUUGAACGCAUAUUGCGCCCUCUGGUAUUCCGGGGGGCAUGCCUGUUCGAGCGUCAUUAAAUAACCCUCAAGCAUAGCUUGGUGUUGGGCUUUUUUACGUCCUUGACUGGGAUGGGCCUAAAAAUUAGUGGCGAUGGCUUUUUUACUUUCAAGCGUAGUAAAUCUCGUCUUGCUAAAGAGGAAAAAGAUUUUUUUUCUGCCAAAAAUUUUAACAUCUAAAGUUGACCUCGGAUCAGGUAGGAUUACCCGCUGAACUUAAGCAUAUCAAUAAGCGGAGGA
rnacentral:misc_RNA from 1 species